UGAAUGUUCCGGUGGACUUGGGGCUCUGU
rnacentral:piRNA from 1 species